GUACCCCAGCUUGGCCUUAAGUUUAUGAACCAGCCUGGCCUCCACAGAGCUGGGAUCUCAGGCAUGGACCUCCACAAAAGGCUGAUGCUGGAAUGUUAAUAAGGAAAUGACAAGCAAAAUUCCUGACUCCUUUUCCCAUAUACGGCAUCGUCAGGGCCUCACUGGAGAACACGCCUAUGCACUUCGGAGCUUUGUAAUACAGGAAAACUAUUCAAAAAGCUACGUAUGUCCUGAAAAACAUGGGUGAGUUAAGAUACGGGAAGGGACGAUCUCUUGGAGGAAUUUUAAACUCAUUGGAACUAUUUAAACUGAAAAGUCUGAACCGUCUUCAGGUAUUCAAGAUGCAAUUCCACAGCCUAAGUAACAGGAAAGAGAAGGAACAGAAGCAGUUCAUUUGGCUAUCCUGGGAUAAACACCAGAUUUCGGGGACAAUCACUAUGGAAGCAUAGAGCUUUGCUGAGGAUUUUUGCCUUGGAAAUCAGCGACAGUCAACAAUGCCUGACACUUCAAUGAGCCUUAAAGAAUGUUUGGGGAGAGGAGAGCAUUUCCUGAGGCAAAGCCGAGAGGGAGGAGACUGGGAUUAAGUUUCUACCAAGUCCUGGGACUGGAUACUGUAGGGCUGGAGUGCAGCACAGAGAAGCAGAGGCACACGGAGAAACAGGAGCAAUGUAUUUGAGGAGCUGAUGGCAGCGCUCUUCCAGAUUCCAAAAAGCCCCAUUCUGCCAGAGCUGAACUACAUGGUCUUUUAAGAUCUCUAGUUUAUUCCACAUGCGCUGGGUUGGGAAGUUAUUCAUGUAAGUUAUGUGAAUAACUCAUCUAUGGCCUCUCUAUAGAUUAGGAAUACUUGCCCCAAGAAUUGAGUCAGAUUCCAGGCUUGGAUUCAAAUCCCAGAUCUGCCAUAUGGAAGCUGCACCUUCCUAGGCAGGGCAAUCGUUGGCACUCAAGUUUCCUAGCAGUUUGGUACUGCCCAGCUCAGAGAACGUGGAGCAGAUGAAGAAAGGGAUUGCAUGUGAAAGCAGGUCACACAAGGAGGCAGUCGCUGGCCAGCUCUUGGAUCCACCCCAAGAAAAAAAAUCAAGCUUGCUUCAGAUUUGGCUCAAAUUGUGGUAGUGGUCUCAUUCUCGCCAUUGGCAUUAACACUGCCCAACACACUGUACCCUAAGAGCCACCCUUCAGUUCCUGUUUGAAGAACUUCUGUUGUCAUUGUCGUUAUUAUUUUCCUAAGUAGAGCUGGCCUGGAAAUGUGACGUUCCAGGAUGAGCAUGAUGCAGUACUGAAGGUAUUGAGAAGCCUGGGGUUAAGCUGCACCCGUGCCUUGCAGAGAUCCAGUAAGAAUCUGUGUGUUGGUUCACAUGUGCAUCAAGACCAUUUUCUAAAGGCCGUGCUGGACCGGAUGUCCCCUCUGUGACAGACACAACAGAAGAAAACUCCUUCCUUAAGUCCUAUCUCUAGAGACUCUGGAAAUGUCACCCCAAAUCAUAGACGAGCACUCUAAGGAAGCUCUAGCCCCAGUUUAAUUAUGCUACGAAUUGUCAUCUAGGAAAACUCAAGAUGUUCCAAACUCCUGAAAGUAGUUCAGGAAGGCAGCUGAGACCCAGGACAGUGAGGAGCAGCAGCCAGCUGAGGACGCCAGGUGUCCCUAACAUCCAGGCCGGAGGCAGACAGGACCACCUUUAAUUGGUAUACUUGUAACUUCUACCCAGGCAGGAUGUUUUUUUAUCCGCACAGAUGUUUCUCUAAACGAUGAGUGGAUUCUGUAAUAAACCAGCCUCUCCUGGGGUCACAAGGAGCGGCAGCAGUGGUGCCAUUGAUGAGACCUGCCCUAGCCCAAGGGGACAGAGCUUACAGAUGUUGCUAGGACCUCCUGGAAGUAGCAAAAGCCCCCAGCAUCAGCAACAGAAGUCUCCCUCUCCCUCUCCCUCUCCCUCUCCCUCUCCCUCUCCCUCUCCCUCUCCCUCUCCC